UAAAUUUAGCUGUAACAGUAACUUUCUGUGGUAAAUUAAGUUUCUACAAUAACUUUCUGUGGUAUAUUUAGCUUUAACGAUAACUUUCUGUGGUACAUUUAGCUUUAACAAUAGCUGCCCAUGGUACAUUUGGCUUGAGCAAUAAACUGGGGUGCAAUUACUUUCUGUGAUAAAUUUAGCUUUAACUGUACCUUUCUGUGGUAAAUUAAGCUUCUACAAUACCUUUCUGUGGUAAAUUUAGCUUUAACAGUAACUUUCUGUGGUAAAUUUAGCUUUAACAGUAACUUUCUGUGGUAAAUUAUGCUUCUACAAUAAGCUAACUAUUAAUAACCUGAUCAACAUAUGUGAAAAUAAUUUAUUUGGAAACAUUAUUUGUGUUUGUCAUAAUAAAUCAGAUAAUAUAUUCAAUAAUAUUAGAGAAUAAUAUGGUGUAAUAUAACUAACGACACUCCCUAUUGUUAUCUACAGUUUCUAGUUAUUAUCUAGUUUCUACAAACUGGACUUUACUAUCUUCUUCAGUUGGCAGAUGGUCCAGUUUUAUUUUAGUUUACUCAGUUGUCAGGUAUCUGAACACUCUGAGGUGACGUGACCACAUCAAUUCCUUGGCUGCUGGCUGACUUAAGGGACAGUAAUAAUCAUCUAACUGCUGCUCAGUUUGGACUCCAGGAUAGAGAAGGACUUAGUUAUCACUUUUGCCUUAUGACAAGGUGCUCAAUCAUGCUGGAAAAUGCAUUGUUCAACAACAAACUGUUCUUGGAUGGUUGGGAGAAGUGGAGGAUGUUUUUGUACCUUUAUGUAUUCAUGGCUGUGUUCUUAGGCAAAAUUGUAAGUAAGCCCACUGCCUUGGCUGAGAGGUGACAACACACAUGAAUGGUAUCAGGAUGCUUUAACCACUAUCAGAACAAUAUAUACAAGGAUGAUACAAAACCUUUCUACUUAACAAUUGUAUUCCACCACAAAGACUCUGAUUCCAGCUCAACCAGGGUAACUGACCAGGUCAUGACAAGUUUGUGUCAUCAGAGCAUGCGCAGAAAAAGUAAUCGAAUCAAAUAAUGUGUUUGUUGUUUCAGUUAAAAAGCUAUUAGUUAUUUUAACUUCCUGUGGAUUUGGAUCAGAUUGAUUUAAAAUAAUUGAUUUUAAAUCACUUUCUUCUGUGUAGCAGCAGCUUCCAUGUAGCAGCAGCAGCGGAUUUGGAGCUCUCGCAUCCUCCAAGCUUGUAGCCGUACUUGAAUUUGGUUUUCUGUUAUGCCAUACGGAACCGGGGGCCACUGAACCAGCAUUAACGACGACAGUGGGGGCUCGCCGAUAGCCUUAGCCGCCGCGUAGGCACGUAUGGUUGUGUUGCGGUUAGAUUGGAGCAUCAUAUAAAUGCAGUGUUUGAAUUAUUUGCCACGUUACAUUUGUUUGCUUGGCUGAGUAUCUUCAUUCAAUCUCAAUUUAUCCUGAGUUAUCCUGAGUUGCUAUUUAUCCCGGCAAUAGAAUCUUAAAAGUAGAUUUAUCUUGUGCAUAUACUUUAAUUACUUACCUUUGAUCUCUCUAUUUAUCUGCUCUCCCAGUGCCUGCUGCUAGCUGGCUAGCAUCACGCAUAACCGGCCUGUUAGCCCGGCUACCGCUUUCACACCAAUUAUCUCUGUUGUUCUUGCUCUACAACAUCAUGUCAGUUACGUCUCUGCCUUCGAGUGCAGGUGAGGACACUUUCAAGCUAAAAUCAGUGGAACUGGAGCUGGAGGCCGUGGAGAAGCAAAUCCGCGACCUACAGGUGAAGCAGGCCGAGCUACGGGAGUGGAAAGCCGCGCUGGGAGCUCCCCGGCCGGUCGCUCACCUGUCUCAGACUCUGGAUGUGAGGCUCACAGUGACCAUGCCACCCACCUCUCACUCUGCAGUGGAGACUCCCUGUGCACAUUCUACUCCAAAUACGCAUCCUCCUCCUCACUCUGCCAGCAAGGCUCCCAAUGAGCAUUCCAUCUCAGAUAUGCCUUCUCCCUCUGGAAGCAAAUCUAACCAAUUGGCUAGGAUCCAAAGAAAACAUUCUCUGUUGAGGACACCUUCACCUGGCUGCAGGAACUGCCAUCUUUUGUUUGCUGAACUUAAAGUGGUCAAGCAACUGCUCCAGUGUGAAGUUGAAAGAAACCAUGAGCUAAGCAUCUACAUGCUUCAGCAAACCGGGCAAACCUAGAUAAAUAUAAACAAAACAAACCCCUUUCGCCCAAUAAAGCCCCUCAGUAUGGUAAAUAUGUUCGACACUUCUACCAAAAUAAUUGCUACUAACUUGAAGGAUAAGUGACAUUGUAUAACUCACCGUCAAUUUUGUGGCACACCUCCAAGAGAAAGGCUUUAAACCAACAACUCAGAGACUGUACUUGAUGGAUGUUGUGGCUUUCAUUAAAUACAUUUUAAACAUGUCACCCCAAUCUGUGAGACUUGGAACCAAGAGGAUAAACGCUCUUGGUUGAAUUGAGGGAUCGUCUAAGAGAUAUUGGGCGAAAUGUAGUCGGGCACCAGCUUAGCGUGCGCCUAUCAAAGUCUGAGAGACUUGUUGAUGCCAAAAGACACAAUGCAUUCCUUGAAAUGGCUCCUGUGAAUAUUGCUGCAAUACUGGUUAUGGAUCCCUGCUCAUUAUGAUCUUGAGAAGCAGCCGGUGAACCGACCAAAUACUGAGAAUAUUUUUUGGGUUUCUGGGCAGAUACAUCAUUGCUACAACUGGCCACCGAAAGGGUGUCGUCAUCGACGAGGUUGAGACAGCAGCAAAAACUAAGAAUGGUGGCUGCAUCAUUCGUGUAGAACAGCACAAGACACAGAGGUACUUUGGGCAAGCAGCUAUACCUCUGAAAGCAACCGAGUAUGCCUGGUUUGAGCAUUACAACAAACGUUGACAAUAUGUUGACGGGGGCUCAGAGGCAUCUACGUUUUUCCCCAAUUCGAGAGGAGGUGUCCUUUUGAAGUUGGAUAAUUACUUUAAGCAGGCGUGGGAACGUCUACGUUUGGGAAUUGCACCCACUUUCAAUAUGCUGCGUUCUUCUGUUGCUACUUAUGCCAAACAGCAACUGGGACAUAAAACAUACAGGAAAGUGGCAACCUUUGUGUGUCAUGACGAACAUACAGCCAAAAGAUUUUAUCAAGUUGAGUACCCAGCAGAGGAAGUACAGAGUAGCAGAUACCUGUCUACAUUGGCAAUUUCAACAUAUGCAGCAAAGAAAAAGAAAAGAGAAUGGAGAAAGAAGGGUCAUGACAAAGCGGAGACUGUGUCCUCUUUCGGAGGAAGAAGAUGGGCUGGAGCCUGUGAGAAAAAGGCUUUUCCAGCCGCAUAAGAAUCUGGCGGAUUCUGAAGAGAAGACUGGGCACAGACAUUGCCAACUGCAGAAGAGAAAUAAAUCUGUGCAGUCAAAGGAAGAAACACUAAAGGGCAGGAUUGCAGUUAAGGUCCCCUUUGGUAUGCAGCAAGCCUUCGUAAACCCAGGAACAGCAAGGGUACUGAAGAGUCAGUCAUCAAACAUUGAAGCAUUUCAUCAGUUUAUUUGAAGUCCCCACACCAAUAUCUGUUUUAAGUAACAUAAAAAGACGACAGGUUGGCUCUCCAUCUGUGCAGAUGUGCACCUCCGGUAAAUAUAAUUCUCAUAUACAAAUGAGGCAACAGAUUACAAGCAAAAUUAUUAAUUAAAUUUCACAAGGUUUGGUAUUGAGUAAAUAUUAAUUAAAAGAGACCCUUAAUAGUUAUCCAUUUAUUAUGAGUAGAUUUGAAUAGAAAACAGUACAGAAUUAAUUAUAAUCUAAACAAAAAUAUUGAGUAGAUUUGAAAAAGAUAAACUCCCUAAUGUGUAAAUAGUACUAAUAAAAAUUUAUUUAAUUCUACAUAUCAUAAUUGAGUAAUCAUCUACAUGAAUCUGCACAUUGAUUUGAAUUUAAUCAAUGUAAUUGAUUAAAUCUAAAUAUUCAUUUCUUAUGAAUAAUAUAGCCCAGAAAGUACAGAACUUAAUGUAAUGAUGAGUCGUAAGACUGAGGAUCCAUUUGCAGCUUUAAUAUAUAAUCUCGGAAACAACAGGCAGAGUUCAGUACCGGUAAACACGACAGUGUAGGUAAGGCAAAAACGUAGUCAGAACA